rnacentral:rRNA from 1 species
UACGUAGGGCGCAAGCGUUGUCCGGAAUUAUUGGGCGUAAAGAGCUCGUAGGCGGUUUGUCGCGUCUGCUGUGAAAGCCCGGGGCUCAACCCCGGGUCUGCAGUGGGUACGGGCAGACUAGAGUGCAGUAGGGGGAGACUGGAAUUCCUGGUGUAGCGGUGAAAUGCGCAGAUAUCAGGAGGAACACCGAUGGCGAAGGCAGGUCUCUGGGGCUGUUACUGACGCUGAGGAGCGAAAAGCAUGGGGGAGCGAAACAGGGAUUAGAUACCCGUGUAGUCC